UACGGAGGAGGCAAGCGUUAUCCGGAAUUAUUGGGCGUAAAGCGUCCGCAGGUGGCACUUCAAGUCUGUCGUCAAAGACUGGGGCUUAACCCUGGAAAGGCGGUGGAAACUGAAGCGCUAGAGUGCGGUAGGGGUAGAGGGAAUUCCCGGUGUAGCGGUGAAAUGCGUAGAGAUCGGGAAGAACAUCGGUGGCGAAAGCGGGUUACUGGGCUGAUACUGACGCUGAUGCGCGAAAGCCAGGGGAGCAAACGGG
rnacentral:rRNA from 1 species